AUUGAACGCUGGCGGCAGGCCUAACACAUGCAAGUCGAGCGAGCGGCGGACGGGUGAGUAAUGUCUGGGAAACUGCCUGAUGGAGGGGGAUAACUACUGGAAACGGUAGCUAAUCCCGCAUACCAUCAGAUGUGCCCAGGUGGGAUUGGAUAGUAGGUGGGGUAACGGCUCACCUAGGCGACGAUCCCUAGCUGGUCUGAGAGGAUGACCAGCCACACUGGAACUGAGACACGGUCCAGACCCCUACGGGAGGCAGCAGUGGGGAAUGUUGCAAAAUGGGCGAAAGCCGGAUGCAGCCAUGCCGCGUGUGUGAAGAAGGCCUUCGGGUUGUAAAGCACUUUCAGCGGGGAGGCGUUACCCGAAGAAGAAGCAACGGCUAACUCCGUGCCAGCAGCCGCGGUAAUAC
rnacentral:rRNA from 1 species